AUCGAACGCUGGCGGCAGGCCUAACACAUGCAAGUCGAACGGUAGCACAGAGAGCUUGCUCUCGGGUGACGAGUGGCGGACGGGUGAGUAACGUCUGGGAAACUGCCCGAUGGAGGGGGAUAACUACUGGAAACGGUAGCUAAUACCGCAUAACGUCGCAAGACCAAAGUGGGGGACCUUCGGGCCUCACACCAUCGGAUGUGCCCAGAUGGGAUUAGCUAGUAGGUGGGGUAAUGGCUCACCUAGGCGACGAUCCCUAGCUGGUCUGAGAGGAUGACCAGCCACACUGGAACUGAGACACGGUCCAGACUCCUACGGGAGGCAGCAGUGGGAAUAUUGCACAAUGGGCGCAAGCCUGAUGCAGCCAUGCCGCGUGUAUGAAGAAGGCCUUCGGGUUGUAAAGUACUUUCAGCGGGGAGGAAGGCGGUGAAGUUAAUAACUUCACCGAUUGACGUUACCCGCAGAAGAAGCACCGGCUAACUCCGUGCCAGCCGCCGCGGUAA
rnacentral:rRNA from 1 species